UACAGAGGUCUCAAGCGUUGUUCGGAUUCAUUGGGCGUAAAGGGUGCGUAGGUGGCGGGGUAAGUCAGGUGUGAAAUCUCGGGGCUCAACCCCGAAACUGCACUUGAUACUGCCUUGCUCGAGUACUGGAGAGGAGAUUGGAAUUUACGGUGUAGCAGUGAAAUGCGUAGAUAUCGUAAGGAAGACCAGUGGCGAAGGCGAAUCUCUGGGCAGUAACUGACGCUGAGGAGCGAAAGCGUGGGGAGCGAACAGG
rnacentral:rRNA from 1 species